UUGUGGGUCUCACUGUAUGUUCUGUAGAUGUUCCUAAAAUCCGUGAAUAUCGACCGAACUAAUCUGGACGUGGACUUUGAGAAAUUCUGGAGUACCGUUGCGCUGAGUGUUAAAGCUGAGUUUGUACAGGAAAGUGUUCUCACUCCUUUAACUGUGCUCUGUGCUCCCCUCCUAGCUUACAAUACAGAAUUAAAGGAUCAUGAAUUAAUGAAUCUCUUUG